rnacentral:rRNA from 1 species
GACGAACGCUGGCGGCGUGCUUAACACAUGCAAGUCGAACGGAAAGGCCCUGCUUUUGUGGGGUGCUCGAGUGGCGAACGGGUGAGUAACACGUGAGUAACCUGCCCUUGACUUUGGGAUAACUUCAGGAAACUGGGGCUAAUACCGGAUAGGAGCUCCUGCUGCAUGGUGGGGGUUGGAAAGUUUCGGCGGUUGGGGAUGGACUCGCGGCUUAUCAGCUUGUUUGUGGGGUAGUUGCUUACCAAGGCUUUGACGGGUAGCCGGCCUGAGAGGGUGACCGGGCACAUUGGGACUGAGAUACGGCCCAGACGCCUACGGGAGGCAGCAGUGGGGAAUAUUGCACAAUGGGCGGAAGCCUGAGGCAGCAGCGCCGCGUGCGGGAUGACGGCCUUCGGGUUGUAAACCGAUGUCGCCGGUGACGAAGCGUGAGUGACGGUAAUGGGUAAAGAAGCACCGGCUAACUACGUG